rnacentral:rRNA from 1 species
CGUACACUCCUACGGGAGGCAGCAGUGGGGAAUAUUACACAAUGGGCGCAAGCCUGAUGCAGCCAUGCCGCGUGUAUGAAGAAGGCCUUCGGGUUGUAAAGUACUUUCAGCGGGGAGGAAGGCAAUACGGUUAAUAACCGUGUUGAUUGACGUUACCCGCAGAAGAAGCACCGGCUAACUCCGUGCCAGCAGCCGCGGUAAUACGGAGGGUGCAAGCGUUAAUCGGAAUUACUGGGCGUAAAGCGCACGCAGGCGGUCUGUCAAGUCGGAUGUGAAAUCCCCGGGCUCAACCUGGGAACUGCAUUCGAAACUGGCAGGCUUGAGUCUUGUAGAGGGGGGUAGAAUUCCAGGUGUAGCGGUGAAAUGCGUAGAGAUCUGGAGGAAUACCGGUGGCGAAGGCGGCCCCCUGGACAAAGACUGACGCUCAGGUGCGAAAGCGUGGGGAGCAAACAGGAUUAGAAACCCCAGUAGUCCCAUG